UUGGAGGGCAAGUCUGGUGCCAGCAGCCGCGGUAAUUCCAGCUCCAAUAGCGUAUAUUAAAGUUGUUGCAGUUAAAAAGCUCGUAGUUGAAUCUCGGGAUUGACGUGAUGGUCGUGCCUUACGGGGUAUGAACUGUUGCUGUUGAUUUCUCACCUUCUGGAGAAACUUGAUGUCCUUAAUUGGGUGUCUUGCGGAUCCAGGACCUUUACCUUGAAAAAAUUAGAGUAUUUAAAGCAGGCAUUUUUGCUCGAAUACAUUAGCAUGGAAUAAUAGAAUAGGACGGCAUGGUUCUAUUUUGUUGGUUUCUAGGAUCACCGUAACGAUUAAUAGGGAUAGUUGGGGGCAUUAGUAUUCAAUUGUCAGAGGUGAAAUUCUUGGAUUUAUUGAAGACUAACUACUGCGAAAGCAUUUGCCAAGGAUGUUUUCAUUAAUCAAGAACGAAAGUUAGGGGAUCGAAGACGAUCAGAUACCGUCGUAGUCUUAACCAUAAACUAUGCCGACUAGGAAUCAGACGAUGUUAAUUUUUUAAUGACUCGUUUGGCACCUUACAGGAAACCAAAGUGUUUGGGUUC
rnacentral:rRNA from 1 species